rnacentral:lncRNA from 12 species
CCCCACCGCCCCCGCCCCCCGCGAUGCUGCACCCUCUCCCCCAAUUACAUCUGACUAGUGGUCAUCCAGGUGUUUCCUGAACCUCCGAAAAGGAAGCGAGGCUGAGUUUAGAGGGCCCCAAGGUCGCUCCUCGACACCAAAGAGGAAAACAAGCUCCAUUAUUUCCUAGUCGAUCACACAAAAUGUGUAUGGCUUCCACAUCCAUCCUCGAGCAAAGGGCUCAGCCCCGUCGGUGGCCGCAGAACAGGUGGCCCUUGACGGGUGACUUGCGGGGGGAUCCUAACGACCAGGGCCACCACCCGUGAGGGAAACGCACAGGAGCCCGGCGCGGCAGGGGGUCUGCUGGUGCAGGAGCUCCACCCCCAAACCCAAACGAGGCCGGAGACCCCACACCCCAGACGAACCAAGACCACAAAGAAACCGGAGAGAGACAUCAUCGCAAAGUGAAAGUGUCCUGGGCCAGGAGGCGAGGGCACAGCGCUGGAGUCCACCUCCCCCUCCGCUCAUUUCCUCCUCCCGCGGCCCCCCCUCAGUCCCCGGGUUUCAGGUUUCAGGUUUCGAGGGAGCAAGUCUUUCCUGGGAGUAAUUCACCUGGCGGCUAGGAGGGGAAAGGGGAAGCCACUGGCCUCCGUGCAGUGGGAGGCAAGGCCAGCAAAGCCCAACGGCAAAGGUGGAAGGCUUGCGCCCCAAACACCAGCAGAGAACACGGGCGCCCGCCGACUGGGCAGCCCCGGGAUGUGGGUAUUUGAAGAAAAAACAGACACCUACCAUUUGCCAAACCUUGGCCUAGACUCACAUAUUUCAAUUUAUCUGCAGACCCAGCCCUACCCAGCUGAGUGUAGACAGUAAUGUGUUGUAGUUAGUGCAGGGAGAGGAUGGGAGAGCCGUGACGAAUGGCAGAUUUUGUGGCAGUGCAGGGUAGGCUGUGACAUAAAAGUUGUGAGGCCUCAGUCCAGUGCAGGAGGCAGAAGGGGAGAGAAAGGCAAGGAAUGCUGGACAUGUCUGAAGGGAUUUCUCCAGAAACUUGAAAAUUCAGAAAACUGGGUCCAUCUGUGACUCAACUUUCUCUUCCACAAAUAAAGGAAUGGAAUUUUUAUUGAUUUACUUAUUU